rnacentral:lncRNA from 1 species
CCUACACUAAUAAGGCUUUUAUAUCUGGAGCUCAUAGGUGGGAGAUAAAGUACACAUACUUACAAGACAAUUUAUUGCAUAGUAAAAUGAUGGAUCCAGAGAAACAAGUCAACAAGUCAAAUCAAGGUGUGCAUGUGUGGCGAAUAAAUGGUGUAUGGUGAUGAUGGUGAAAGUCUAAUUCCACUUUUGCUCUUUUGAGGGGAUAUAUACCUUCCUUGCUCUUUUGAUUUUUUUUGAAGAGAAUGAGAUGCUCUAUAUUUCUUUUCUCUUUCCUCUUAGGUGGGUAUUCUGUACCUAUAAUUCUACUGUCGGACACUUCUCCAUUUUUACCCCUCGUCUUAGUUUUUUCUUUCGAGGUUCCGGGCACUUGCCCCUUUUUAUUUCCUCGUAUCUUUUUUCUCUUCUUUUUUUAGAGCACUCAUUUCCUGAAAUAAUAUAUCAAGUGGUAGUAACCAAGAUAACUUGAGCAUUUAUUUCACUGGGGAAAACAGAAAUGUUUUUGGCUAUUCUCUCCCGGAUUAGGAGUAGAAUAUUUUUGGGUGGUUCCAGAGAUGGAAAUGGGUGGAUAUAUGUGGAUGCGUACUUCCGGAGGAGAAGCAGCAUGUGUGAGUGAACGUGCAAGUGAAUCUUGAUUUAACCACAUGACAAGCUCCUAAGGGUCUUGUUGACACCAUUUUUGGACACGUGCCCAGGAUCGGUAGAGCGUAGAUCGGCAAGAUAGUGCAACAGUAAAUGGUCUGCAGGGGAGUUGCCGAUGAGGAUGGUUGCCGAUGAAGAGGUGGCUGAAUGUGGCUAAGUCCUUGGGUGAUGACGUGUUUAUACCGAUGGUCAGGCAUUGGCUCCUGCCGAUGGAUACAAUGAGGGGUCUGCCGAUGAUUCUGAAGGAGGACCUGAAGGAUGCUGAUUGGUCCAUGGCGGUGUCCCAGUUUGUCACGGGAGGAUAGUUUUGUGUUUUUCUUAGUUAUUUAGAUCGUUUUGUAUACGGAUUCUGUUUGAUUUGGAAUUCGAGUUCUAGUCGUGUCUGGU